GGCACACUAUGUUGGAUCCGACAGAUGAGAUUGACUUUGAUACCCAUAUGCAGGACGGUGGACUGGGUGAUUGACUUUGAUUAUGUUUUUUUGUACUUUUGGUUUUCUCUGUGUAAUUUUUGUGUUUUUUUGAUUUAUUCAAUUUUUAAUUUUUGUUGCUUUGAUGUAAUCACCUAUUAUGGGUUGGCUUAAUCUAAUGAAUUUGAUUUGGUUUACCUCCAUUUUC
rnacentral:lncRNA from 1 species